CUGGCCAAGCCCUAAGUAUUGUGUUCUUGCUGAAACUCACAGUUAUUUACCUUUUUGUGUGCUCCUUUCAAGGUGACUUCAAGUCCAAGCCUCAAAGCUCCUGCAGCUUUCAGUCAAGUUCCCAAGCUUCCAAGAAAUCUACCUGGAUCAAGUACUAGCUGACAGCUCAGUCUUCGUCCUCCUACAAGCGAACCCUGCUCACCUUCCACCUAUUCAAAUCCACAUCAAGCUUCCAGAAACCUCGUCCGGUAAUCAAGUUAAUGAAAAUCAAACGGUCAAGAACUUACCUGAACUUUCUCCUGGGAACUCACCUUCACCUCUGACUCACAGACUCAGCAGCUGCCUCAACCGCUCUCCCUGGCUCCACAUCAUUCUCCCUUGUCUAAAUUCAUCUUCAUCUCCAUGUGGAGUGCACGACUAACAGCUGCCUGUCAUUUUAACCCAGCUGAGCCACGGAUCUCUGCAGCUCUUCCAGAUUUACCAUGGGCCUCUUGACUGCUGCUAUGAUUAAUUGCCCAGUGUGUCAUUUUAGGUAGAUGUCUAGGUUUUGGCAAGUUUGUUGCAGUGCCAUACUAUUCCCAUUUUAAGGUUACAGACAAAUUAAACAAUGCUCAAGUGUCUAAAUCUUGGGAUAUUGUUUAAGAUGUUCUUCGUUGGUCUUUGUGAUGCUUAUUGAUUAUUAAUGCUCAUUAAUAAACCUGAGUCCCUCACAGAACAGCAGGAUUUAUACUGAGAUUUAAUUGUACAAAGUUGACGAGGUGUUAUACUAAAAGAAACAGAAAACAAAUGCACACCAAAUUUCUUUCUGCCAAUUUUUUUUUCUCCAAAAAAAUUGCUGAAGUCUAUCACCAUAAAACAUUGAAGUUUGUAAAGGUAACUGCAGGAAUGUGGAAAAGUCAAGAGGGUGUGAAUAUUUUUGUGUAAAUUACAUUUAGUUUUAUGACUUGUUUAUUUUUGAGACGGCUGCCAUCACUUCUAUUGAAACUACCACUUUUUCCCUGCCAGCCAGGGGUGUUCCCUUUUAGCCAGAUGCCACAGUGAUCAACACACACGACUCGUGCCAUCCGGUCUGAGGCCCCAGAUAUGAUAGACCACCUGGAAAGAGAAGAGACAAUGCAAACAUGGUUAUUUUCACAGCUUUGAUAUGCUAAACACACAAAAACCCACAGCAGUAAAAGGGCCAAUUUCUGUUGCUCAGUGUUUAGCUGUACACAGGGUGAGGACAUAGAGGAGCUCUGUUCAGCUCAUAUGCACUGGCUGUGGUCCUAUGCAAUGUGUUUACCAGAGCAGUGGAGAGAGACCCUCAUGCACACAAAUAGUAGUGGAGCUCAACACCCACUGGCCAUCUUGGAGACCAUCCAUAAUGCAUUUCAAGCAUGAGCAU